GCCUUUAGCCCAAUUAGUAUUAAAGGUACUGCCUGCCCAGUGAACUUUUAACGGCCGCGGUAUCCUAACCGUGCAAAGGUAGCGCAAUCACUUGUCCUCUAAAUAGGGACCAGUAUGAACGGCUAAAUGAGGGCCAGCCUGUCUCCUGCGGCCAAUCACUGAACCUGAUCUUCUAGUACAAAAGCUAGAAUACACCCAUAAGACGAGAAGACCCUGUGGAGCUUCAAACACCAAUACUACCAACCCGCCCCACCAAUAGGCCCACAUCACCAAGAUAGUAUAAGUUUUUAGUUGGGGCGACUACGGAACAAAAACAAACUUCCAUGAUAGAGACACCCCCCCCUCUCACCCGGCCAACAGGCCAGCAAACCAUUGACCCAGUAAUACUGAUCAACGAACCAAGUUACCCCAGGGAUAACAGCGCCAUCCUCUUCUAGAGCCCCCAUCGCCAAGAGGGUUUACGACCUCGAUGUUGGAUCAGGACCCCCAGGUGGUGCAACCGCUACCAAC
rnacentral:rRNA from 1 species